rnacentral:rRNA from 1 species
CGGAUGAACGCUAGCGACAGGCUUAACACAUGCAAGUCGAGGGGUAACAGGGUAGCAAUACCGCUGACGACCGGCGCACGGGUGAGUAACGCGUAUGCAACCUGCCUAUAACUGGGGAAUAGCUCCCUGAAAGGGGAAUUAACACCGCAUAACACUAUUGAUUCGCAUGGAUUGGUAGUUAAAUGUAGCGAUACAGGUUAUAGAUGGGCAUGCGUGACAUUAGCUAGUUGGUGAGGUAACGGCUCACCAAGGCUACGAUGUCUAGGGGUUCUGAGAGGAAGGUCCCCCACACUGGUACUGAGACACGGACCAGACUCCUACGGGAGGCAGCAGUGAGGAAUAUUGGUCAAUGGGCGCAAGCCUGAACCAGCCAUGUCGCGUGAGUGAUGAAGGCCCUAGGGUUGUAAAGCUCUUUCGACGGGGAUGAUAAUGACCGUACCCGUAGAAGAAGCCACGGCUAAAUUCGUG